rnacentral:rRNA from 1 species
CGAGGCGAACCGGGGAAACUGAAACAUCUCAGUACCCCGAGGAAAAGAAAUCAACCGAGAUUCCCUCAGUAGCGGCGAGCGAACGGGGAGCAGCCCAGAGUCAACAUCAAUAUUUACCACAGGAGAAGGGUCUGGAAAGGCCGGCAAUAAAGGGUGAUAGCCCCGUAUCUAAAGCGGUAAGUGUUGUGAACUCGAAGAGUAGGGCGGGACACGUGUUAUCCUGUCUGAAUAUGGGGGGACCAUCCUCCAAGGCUAAAUACUCCUGACUGACCGAUAGUGAACCAGUACCGUGAGGGAAAGGCGAAAAGAACCCCGGCGAGGGGAGUGAAAUAGAACCUAAAACCGUGUACGUACAAGCAGUAGGAGCACCCGAAAGGGUGUGACUGCGUACCUUUUGUAUAAUGGGUCAGCGACUUAUAUUCUGUAGCAAGGUUAACCGCAUAGGGGAGCCGUAGGGAAACCGAGUCUUAACUGGGCGUUAAGUUGCAGGGUAUAGACCCGAAACCCGGUGAUCUAGCCAUGAGCAGGUUGAAG